rnacentral:rRNA from 1 species
GACGAACGCUGGCGGCGUGCUUAACACAUGCAAGUCGAACGGAAAGGCCCUGCUUUUGUGGGGUGCUCGAGUGGCGAACGGGUGAGUAACACGUGAGUAACCUGCCCUUGACUUUGGGAUAACUUCAGGAAACUGGGGCUAAUACCGGAUAGGAGCUCCUGCUGCAUGGUGGGGGUUGGAAAGUUUCGGCGGUUGGGGAUGGACUCGCGGCUUAUCAGCUAGUUGGUGGGGUAGUGGCUUACCAAGGCUUUGACGGGUAGCCGGCCUGAGAGGGUGACCGGCGUCAUGGGGCCUGAGGUACGGCGCAGACGCCAACGGGGGGCAGCAGGGGGAAAUAUUGCACAAUGGGCGGAAGCCUGAUACAGCAGCGCCGCGUGCGGGAUGACGGCCUUCUGGUUGUAAACCGCUUUCGCCUGUGACGAAGCGUGAGUGACGGUAAUGGGUAAAGAAGCACCGGCUAACUACGUG